GUGCAAAUCACCUAGGGAUCUUGUUAAAAUGCCGAUUCUGACUAAGUAGGUCUGCAGUGGGGCCUAAGAUUAUGUUUUCUAAUAAGCUUCCAGGUGAUGCCAAU
rnacentral:miRNA from 1 species